AUGGAUGGCCAAGUGACUCUUUCAGAAGGGACUUCUGUGACUAUAAACUGCACUUAUUCAACGUCCGGGUACCCUACUCUUUUCUGGUAUGUCCAGUAUCCUGGAGAAGGUCCACAGCUCCUCCUGAAAGCCACGAAGGCCAACGAGAAGGGAAGCCACAAAGGUUUUGAAGCCACAUACAAUACAGAAACCACCUCCUUCCACUUGGAGAAAGCCUCAGCCCAAGAGUCAGACUCGGCUGUGUACUACUGUGCUCUGAGGGACACAGUGACGGAAACUGCAGGGGGAGCUGAGCACAAACUCUGA